rnacentral:tRNA from 1 species
CUGGGGUUGUGGCUCAGUGGUAGAGUGCUUGCCUAGCAGGUAUGAGGCAUUGGGUUGGAUUCUCAGACCAUAUA